CCUACGGGAGGCAGCAGUGAGGAAUAUUGGUCAAUGGGCGGGAGCCUGAACCAGCCAAGUAGCGUGAAGGAUGACUGCCCUACGGGUUGUAAACUUCUUUUAUAAGGGAAUAAAGUGAGUCACGUGUGCCCUUUUGUAUGUACUUUAUGAAUAAGCAUCGGCUAACUCCGUGCCAGCAGCCGCGGUAAUACGGAGGAUCCGAGCGUUAUCCGGAUUUAUUGGGUUUAAAGGGAGCGUAGACGGGUUGUUAAGUCAGUUGGGAAAGUCUGUGGCUCAACCGUAAAAUUGCCAUUGAUACUGGCAGCCUUGAGUACGGGUGAGGUAGGCGGAAUUCGUGGUGUAGCGGUGAAAUGCUUAGAUAUCACGAAGAACUCCGAUUGCGAAGGCAGCCUACU
rnacentral:rRNA from 1 species